rnacentral:rRNA from 1 species
UAGGGAAGUCUUCCACAAUGGGCGGCAAGCCUGAUGGAGCAACACCGCGUGAGUGAAGAAGGGUUUCGGGCUCGUAAAGCUCUGUUGUUAAAGAAGAACACGUAUGAGAGUAACUGUUCAUACGUUGACGGUAUUUAACCAGAAAGUCACGGCUAACUACGUGCCGG